GGGUGAUUAGCUCAGUUGGUAGAGCAACUGACUCUUAAUCAGUGGGUCUGGGGUUCGAAUCCCCAAUCACCCACCA
rnacentral:tRNA from 1 species